rnacentral:rRNA from 1 species
GAUAAACGCUGGCGGCGUGCCUAAUGCAUGCAAGUCGAACGGGAGCGCCUUCGGGCGUCGACCGUGGCGGACGGGUGAGGAGCGCGUAGCUAACCUGCCCAGGUGUGGGGGAUAGGCCUCGGAAACGGGGUGUAAGACCGCAUACGCUCAUCUCUGGGGACGGAGGUGAGGAAAGGCCCUUUCGGGGGUCGCGCCUGGAGGGGGCUGCGUCCGAUUAGCUAGUUGGUGGGGUAAUGGCUUACCAAGGCGGUGAUCGGUCGCUGGUCUGAGAGGACGACCAGCCACACGGGGACUGAGACACGGCCCCGACUCCUACGGGAGGCAGCAGCAAGGAAUUUUCCGCAAUGGGCGAAAGCCUGACGGAGCAACGCCGCGUGCGGGAGGACGCCCUUCGGGGUGUAAACCGCUUUUCGGGGGGACGAAGGAAGUGACGGUACCCCCGGAAGAAGGCCCGGCUAACUACGUG